rnacentral:rRNA from 1 species
AGAGUUUGAUCCUGGCUCAGGACGAACGCUGGCGGCGCGCCUAACACAUGCAAGUCGAACGAGAGAGAGGAAGCUUGCUUCCUCAAUCGAGUGGCGAACGGGUGAGUAACGCGUGAGGAACCUGCCUCAAAGAGGGGGACAACAGUUGGAAACGACUGCUAAUACCGCAUAAGCCCACAGCUCGGCAUCGAGCAGAGGGAAAAGGAGCAAUCCGCUUUGAGAUGGCCUCGCGUCCGAUUAGCUAGUUGGUGAGGUAAUGGCCCACCAAGGCAACGAUCGGUAGCCGGACUGAGAGGUUGAACGGCCACAUUGGGACUGAGACACGGCCCAGACUCCUACGGGAGGCAGCAGUGGGGAAUAUUGCACAAUGGGGGAAACCCUGAUGCAGCGACGCCGCGUGGAGGAAGAAGGUCUUCGGAUUGUAAACUCCUGUUGUUGAGGAAGAUAAUGACGGUACUCAACAAGGAAGUGACGGCUAACUACGUGCCAGCAGCCGCGGUAAAACGUAGGUCACAAGCGUUGUCCGGAAUUACUGGGUGUAAAGGGAGCGCAGGCGGGAAGACAAGUUGGAAGUGAAAUCUAUGGGCUCAACCCAUAAACUGCUUUCAAAACUGUUUUUCUUGAGUAGUGCAGAGGUAGGCGGAAUUCCCGGUGUAGCGGUGGAAUGCGUAGAUAUCGGGAGGAACACCAGUGGCGAAGGCGGCCUACUGGGCACCAACUGACGCUGAGGCUCGAAAGUGUGGGUAGCAAACAGGAUUAGAUACCCUGGUAGUCCACACCGUAAACGAUGAUUACUAGGUGUUGGAGGAUUGACCCCUUCAGUGCCGCAGUUAACACAAUAAGUAAUCCACCUGGGGAGUACGACCGCAAGGUUGAAACUCAAAGGAAUUGACGGGGGCCCGCACAAGCAGUGGAGUAUGUGGUUUAAUUCGACGCAACGCGAAGAACCUUACCAAGUCUUGACAUCCUGCGACGAUGCUGGAAACAGUAUUUUCCUUCGGGACGCAGAGACAGGUGGUGCAUGGUUGUCGUCAGCUCGUGUCGUGAGAUGUUGGGUUAAGU